UAGUAUCUAAUAAAAAGGUUUUGAAUAUCAAAUUAGCAUGAGGAAUAUUAUUGCUACUGGACUGACUAAUGUUGGUGGUUUGGGCUUCUCAGGUGUACCCAGGUCCCAAGCUGUGGAGAGCAGGUCCAUAGAUGGUCUUUCACAUGAAAGGUCCAUUUACAAUAGGGCUGUGCCAACCACAUUCCCCCUGUCAGAAGCGACUGCUGUCAUGAAAUGGGACCCAGCUGCAACAGAGGCCCAAAUAAAGUCUGCUGCAUCUUUUCAUCUGAAACAUGCCCCUGGGAGAGUCGGGGGUGGUGGCUGUAAAUGAAUAUAUUGUGGACCUUACAGCAGCCACAUUUUGUUAAUUGUUUACUGUUUUAACAAAAUUUUAUAGCACUUUUAUUUAUAACUUUACUGUUCUGGCUUUUAAGUUUUAUUAUAUUAUUGUGUUAAUUUAUACUUGACUGUUCAGGUUUUAAGUUGUAUUGUG